AUAAAAAUUAAUAUAUGUUCUUUUUAUUUUUAUUUUAUUUUUUGGGGUUAAUUGAUAAUUUAUUUUUUUUCUUUUUAUUAAUAUCCAAAAAGAAAGGAAACAUUAUUAUAGGAGCGUAAUAUUAUAAAAGCAAGCCAAAAGAAACAGAAAAUAAUAGAGGGUGUCAAUAGUUUAACGACAGAGAUGUUUUGAGGUAUUUUUGAAAAUACAUGGACUGAAAAAACACUAACCUCAUAAUAUAGAGAUUAAGCGAGCUUUUACCUGAUGCAAAAUACUAAAUAAGAUACCAAAAUGAAAUGUAAAAAUUCUAUAAACACAUUAAAAAACGCUCUUAACUGCAAGUUAUUUCUAGAAAUACUUGGAUAAUUAGAAUCGCAUAUAAUAUUUAUUUGUUGAUCACAUGGUAGAGAACAUGGGAACUGUUUAUAAACAAACAUAUUAAUUAAAUUAUGUUAAUAAUUGAACCCUUUUCCAUUAUUAAUGAGUGUAGUUGAUUUAAAUCAUUUAGGCAAGCUAUAAUGUGGGUGACCUCAUUCCCCUUAUGACUUUCAUUCCUUCAUUAAUUCGUUGGAAUUUAGAACAACUCCCAACGGCUAUAUUCGGUUGAUAAGGUCGGUAAAACAGUUUUAUGAAUCUGAAUUUAAUGGGAAAUGAGUCUUCAAGUCAUCUUUUAAUUAAUUGUUUUUAAGUAAUUAUCCAGAUACCAUGUUAGGGGCAUUGCACCUGGCGCAACAAAAACUCUGCAUGUGGCAACAAUUUUAGUAUUUUACUAUUAUUAUUAAUUAGUACCCCCAAGAACUUUGAUUAUUUUAAAAAUAUGGGUUUCUCUCUAUUCUAGGUGCCGCCCUCAUUAUGCAUAGUUUUGUUAGAAAAAACUUCACACUCCGACACACAGAUUUUAGCUUUCCAAGUUUGUGAUUUUGAUUAAAAUAGAGAAUUAGGAGCUCAUCAACAUGUGGUGGGUUCUUAAUGAGAGGUGCUGAGAAUUUGAUAGUUAUUUAUAAUCUAUUAUAUUACAAGUCACAUGAAAUUUUUAUUUAAAGUAAAUAAUAAUGGUAAAGUUUGGUCAAGCGUAGUAGGUAACCUUCCCACAUUAUGGCAAGUUGUCAAUUAAUUAGUCUUAAUAUUAAUCUUAAAUAAAUUAACUUAUGAUUUGACUAAUACACAACUAAUGUUAAUUAAUUAGUACUUGAUGCAAUUACAUGAACAUAGUUUGUUUGACUUCAUUCAAAUAUACAUUGUAAAUUAACUAACUUCAAAUUUUUUUCUCUAUAUAUAUACAAACUUAGGUCAAUUGUAGUCUUCAUCAUGUCAUAUGCUAUCAUGUGCAUGUAUAUAUCAGAACCACAUAGACCAUACACAGUAGCCAGGUCACUAACCUCAACCACAAUGCAUGCCACACUUCAAGUUAUUUAUAAUAAUACAAUUAUUAUACAAUAAUGUAAAAUUUAGGGCAUCAAUUCUUACGAGGCAAUGACAGAGAAUAGGCUUGAUGCUUGAUCAAUUUCUAAAUUCUGAAUUAGAAGAAUCUCAAGGUUCUUGUUGAGACUUAAGAGGCAGAAAUUUUUUUUUUUCGAAACUCAACAUGACUUACGUGGGUGUGUUUUGGCUUCAAAUUAAGAAGAUUCAUGCAUACUUCACUUUGAUAUAAGAGAUCUCCAUGAAUAAGCUAGCCUCCAACUAUUGAAUAAUAUAUAGAUGAACAAACAAAUAAUGUGUUUAAUUUUUUUUUUCCGUCCUCCUCUCUACUCAUUUUUUCUUGGAAAACAAAUAGAAGAAAUGUUUUUGAGGCUCAUAUUAAAUUAAUAAAUUUUAUUAGUUUCCAUGAAAAUUGAUAUUAAAUUUAUAGGUUAAUGUAAUGCAACGCGUUUAAUUACGUUGUGUUUGUUGCAUGUGGGAGGCAUUAUCCAAGGGCGGCCUCGGCAUCGAGGAGAAUGAAGAUGAAGUAUGAUCGUCGCAUAAGAAUGAUCUUAGCCCUCCAAAUUUAAUUAAAAUUAAUGAGUAAUUUAAUUUAAUUGUUUCUUAUAAUUGAAUUAAACCUGUAAAAGCCAUGUGAUUGUUUGUUGCCAUUAAGUGGGUCGCAAGCCAAAUUAAUUUCACUUCCCAGACAAGAAAGUCAAAUUAAUUAACUUGAAUUGAUGCUACAACACAGUCAUUUUUGGCAUGAAUAUAUAGAAAUGCACUCAACCGUGUUAUACUAUUUAUCAAAGUCAAAACUAGUUUUUUUUUUUUUUUUUCUUAUUGUUUGGGUUUUGUCCAAUAAACUACGAACUUAAUUAAGCAAGCGCUAGAAAACUUAAAUUUGAGAUACUUCAAAUUUGGUUUAAUAGUGGUAUUUGAAAAUGAUUUUUAUAUAUGAUUUUUUUUAAUACAAAAUGUGCAUGAUCUUUUCUUUCAAACGGGGAAAAAUGCAUACCAUUCUCAUAUUAUUUUUGAAUUUGAAACUAGUUAGUAGAAAAUGGAUUUUAUGUCUCUAAAUAAAUUUAUUUUUCUUCAAAAUAAUGUUGAACUUUGUUUUAAAUAAUUAAUGUAUAAGAACUUUAAGCUGAUUCAUGUUUUCAUUACAGAAGACCAAAUGUCAUGGCUUUGUUGGACUCUUAACUAUUGAUAUCAUCUAAAAAAUCUUUGUUGCAAGAGCAAGAGGACUUAUUAGAUGAUAUAACUUUUCUUUGAUUAUAAAAAAUAAAAGGGCCAGAGGAAUAAGGAUGCCUACUGAAAUGAAAUAUUAAUCAUAUAAAUAAAAUUAUUCUUCUUGUACAUAUUUAUGAUGUUCCUCAGCACCAACUAACUUUGUAACUGCAAUAACUGCAAAGAUUAUGAAUUAAUGGAGCAUAAUAUGAAUUAAGUAAUUGGAAAAGAAUAUAUUUCAGAACUGGGGAAGGAAUCAAUAUCUUUGAGAACAUGAGUCAUGACUGAGGGUUUAGCAAAGCAAAGAAUAUAAGAACAUGACACGAUCAAUAGAAGGGAUUACAUGAUUCUGUUUUAUAACUAAUUAAGUCAUUAAUUAAGCAAGUGGCUUUGGGUCUAAGUUUGACCACAGAAUAUUCAGCUUAAGAGAAAAUGGUGGAAACACAUGAGACCACAUGGACUGGCCGAUCAAUUUCAAUUGCAGCAAUUUGAAAGAAUAUUUAGAGACUUCAAUAAGGCCAUAAGUUUUGAAAAAUAUAUUGGUCAAACGGUAAUUAAGAUUUGUUGAAUUGUAAUUUGAUUCUCCAAACUAACAUGAGUGGCUAUAUAUAUAUAUAUAUAUAUUCUUAGCUAACCCCAUCUUCGUCGUCAAUCAUUUUGUUCUUUGAACAAACUGUAUAUCUAGUGUCAUUGAUUCUUCAAUAUUAUUAAUGAUUCCCUCAUAUGAUAUUGCAAAUUAUUUUUUUAAGUCUCCUAUCUUCUCUAAUAUUCAAAUUCAAGCUGUCAAUAAUUGUUUGAAAAUCACUCAAUUAAAUUGUGUGUAUAGAGAGAGUCAUUCCUC
rnacentral:lncRNA from 1 species